rnacentral:lncRNA from 1 species
CAGUUCAAAUUGUUGAUAUGUAUAUUGGAGAUCGAUCAGUUUUCUGCAUACAUUUUUCUUCAUUCAAUUCAAAACUACAUAUAUAUGAACUAGCAUCCCAUAAGUAAGGUCGGGGAUCGACCUAGCUUUUGCGAGUGACUACGCUUGUAUUUGGGUUCCUUGUAUCUCGCUCGUAUCCGUUGAUUUGAGGGUGUUUGACAGCAGCUAGCGCCUCCUUCGAACAAUUUUUUCCAGACUUUCUCGUAUUUUUUUCGCACCAUGCAUAUAUAGUGUCAGUGAUAGCAUAGUGAAUAGAAGUUCUAAAAUGUAAUUGAAUGUACGUAAUUGAUCACCAAUGUUUACAAUAAAUAUAUAUUUAUAACAAUUAUAUCUACCUCAUACCCAAUAUAAUUAGCUAAACUAAUUAAUAUAUUAACUAAUAAUUGUUCUUUUUUAAAACCUGAGAAUUCCCUUUGUCGUUGUCAUAUGAUCGAAAAGUCUUAGGUUUAGGUGUUUGUAAAAAUUGAGAUAUUUGAUUUGCAUAAUAUAUCAAACCAAGCAUAGUAAAGGUAAGGUAGUAUUGUAAAAAAACCACCAGAGCCAGCCUUAAAUGAUGUUGGAUCAUCUAAAAUUACAUCUUUAUUCGAUCACCGGCUAUCUUUCCUCGAUCACCGGCCCACCGACACCUGUGAGGUCCUCUCCAGUGUACUACUACUGCCUGAGUAAUAAAAUCUACAAAUCUCAAUAUGUAUUAUUUGGAAACGAUAAUUAAGAAUUAAGAUAUGAAUUUUUCGAUAUUAUAUAAGAUAUUCUUAAUAAUAUUUUUAAUUUUAAAUCCAAUGUUUUUUUUUGAAAUGAUUAAAUAUUAUAAACAUAAUAUAUUAAAAAUCUCAAUCUUUUAAAUAAAUGAUUGAAAAUAUGAUGCAGAUUUUAAUAUUUUAAAUGGAAAUAUGAGAUGCAAAUAUCUCAAAUCAUCUUAUCUGAAUUAUCUCAUCUAAAUCUCCUCCACCUAUUUUCGAGUUAAUAUCUGUCAGUUGUCCUUGGUAGGACCGUAGGAUCACCGACAUUCGAUCGCUUAAUAAUUAAUUAUCUAAUUUAGUAAUUAAAUUCUCAUGUGAUGUGACGUAACUAACUAUUUAUCACGUAUGUAAUAUUGUAAUUUGUUAAUGGAAUCAAACAAAAAAAAAAUUAUUGAGAGAGAGAUUGUGAGUCGGAGAGGGAGGCAAUAAUUAAGAUCCUAAACGAAGGAAGGAAGGGGAAAAAAUGGGGUGUGUGGCCAGCAUUUGUUUUGAAGAGGAGAAGCGGAUUAAUGAAGGAAGGGUGAAAUCGUUGGAGGAGAAGAUAAGGGUGAUGAAGUAUACCAAGGAGAAGGAAAUUGAGGUCUACGAGCAGCAUUACAUGGAGAUGUUGUUUCUUAAAGAGAUGGAGAGGAAAAAUAAAUACCCCAAGGAGAUAAAGAUGGAAGGCAGCAGCUGUAGUUAUUGUCACGGACGGUCACAGUAUGUUGUUGCAGUGG